AUUUUGCAGCAGCAGCAGCGAAAAUGAGCAUUUCAUGUGGUACACAAAGAGAAGAAUCAACAUCUCUGAUGUUAAAUCUUCCUGAAGGGGUUCAUGAUGAGAUCUUUAUGAAGCUACCAGCAAAAUCCAUCUUCGUAUCAAGGUGUGUCUGUAAGCUUUUCUAUAAUCUACUUUCCAAUCCUAGAUUUAUCAAAAAUCAUGUUAAUCGAAGUAUUCUGAGCAAGAACAGCAGCCCUAAACUCUUAUUUAGUCAAUCCUCGAGGGUUAAGCGCCCUCUGAUUCACUCUAUACCUAUAGAUUAUCCUUCGAUUUCACCAUCAGAUGGAGGUGUUCUGAUAAAUUACCCAUUUGAAUCUACCAGAAUUUUUGGGUUCAUGUAAUGGCUUGAUUUUCUUAAGAAUAUUUAGUAUUGAUAGAUCUAAUUAUCUAAAGAAAUUUAUUUCAGAGACUAAAUUCUGUAUUCUGAACCCAUUGACAAGAGAAUUUAAGGAAUUUGAAAAGCCUGAGGAAUCUAAAAAUCCUGAAAAGUGUUAUGGCGGUGUUACCUAUGGAUUUGGUUAUGAUGGCAAUGUAGAUGAUUACAAACUAGUGAUGACAAAUUAUGUAGGACACCGUGUCUACAAAAUUGAUGUUUAUACAGUGAAAUUAGAUUCAUGGAGUAGUAUUCAGGGUAUGGGUAAAUUCUCAUUUCACUGUGGUAAAGGAUAUUCUGGUGUGUUUUUCAAUGGGUGUCUUCAUUUGUUGGCAAGUACGGACACUCGCGGAAUCUGGUCUGAAGUUAUCUUCUCUUUUGAUAUUUGCAAUGAGGUAGUGGUGAGUAUGCCAUUACCUGAAAAUGUUAUGCCACCUACAGAUUAUUCCGGAGAAGUUUUUUAAAAUGUGGGAGUGUGGGGGGACUGCAUUGGUAUAGCUUAUAUCUGGAAUUCAGUUAGGAUUGAUGUGUGGGUGAUGCGGGAGUAUGGAGUGAAGGAAUCUUGGGUCAGAAAAUAUACCACAACUCAACUGCCGCUUCCCUUGCCCUUGCAAGAAAUUCCAUUUUGGAAGCCUCUGUGGUGCUUUAACAAUGGUGAAAUUCUAGUAGAUACUGGCAGGCAAAUACUUUUAUAUGAACCAAAAACUGAAAGAGUUACAUCGGUGGUGGUCCGUGAUUUUGCUACGGACAAUAGUCUACAGAUCUAUGUGGAGAGCAUAGUCAUAGUCUCACUUGGCUCUGGUACUUAUCUGGAGAAACCGAUUACAGAUGAGAUCGUGAAGUAUCCCGAGUGACAACAAUUGAGGUCUCAUUCAGCACAAUGGUUUUAUACUCCCAACGCUAGAAAGACCAGCACUUAUGACUGAAAACCAGAAUGGGUGGGAGCUUUGGCCCAAGCUCAUUGUUUGCAUCUGUUUGUAAUCCAUUUCCAUCCUAUGUGUUUGCAAUACUUAAACUAGCAUCACCACAUGCCAGUGUAACUCAAGGUUACGAUAAGCUCUAUCCUUCCACACUGCCUAAAUUGCUUUGUCAACGGCCAGAAACAAACAAGUGCAUGGUUGUGUAAUUGGUAUUCAUAUUAGUGCAGGCAGUAACAUGGAAUCAGCAGUUCUAACUUU